rnacentral:rRNA from 1 species
GACGAACGCUGGCGGCGUGCUUAACACAUGCAAGUCGAACGGAAAGGCCCUGCUUUUGUGGGGUGCUCGAGUGGCGAACGGGUGAGUAACACGUGAGUAACCUGCCCUUGACUUUGGGAUAACUUCAGGAAACUGGGGCUAAUACCGGAUAGGAGCUCCUGCUGCAUGGUGGGGGUUGGAAAGUUUCGGCGGUUGGGGAUGGACUCGCGGCUUAUCAGCUUGUUGGUGGGGUAGUGGCUUACCAAGGCUUUGACGGGUAGCCGGCCUGAGAGGGUGACCGGCCACAUUGGGACUGAGAUACGGCCCAGACUCCUACGGUAGGCAGCGGUGGGGAAUAUUGCACAAUGGGCGGGAGCCUGAUGCAGCAACGCCGCGUGCGGGAUGACGGGCUGCGGGUUGUGAACCGCUUUCGCCUGUGACGAAGCGUUAGUGACGGUAAUGGGUAAAGAAGCACCGGCUAACUACGUG